rnacentral:misc_RNA from 1 species
GAUGAAGAACGUAGCAAAUGCGAUAAGUAAUGUGAAUUGCAGAAUUCAGUGAAUCAUCGAAUCUUUGAACGCAUCUUGCGCUCCUUGGUAUUCCGAGGAGCAUGCCUGUUUGAGUGUCAUUUUAACUUCUCAACCAUAUCGAAUUGUUUUUCGAGGUGGCUUGGACAUGGGGGUUUUUGCAGGCUUUAAUAAUGAAGUCGGCUCCUCUGAAAUGCAUUAGUGGUAUCUGAAGCAGAACUGCUACUAUUAGGUGUGAUAAUUAUCUAUGCCUCUUGGUAUACUGCAUGAACAGAUUGCGCUGCUUCCAACUUGUACACCCUUUGGUGUUUGACAAAUUUGACCUCAAAUCAGGUAGGACUACCCGCUGAACUUAAGCAUAUCAAUAAGCGGAGGA